UUAUUAUUAUUAUUUUAUUUUAGAUGUGGUUUCUGAAACGUUUUACAACGUCGCCCCGCAACUUAAAUACGAGGCUUUGAAAAGUUUUUAAACGUUUUGUGUUUGACGAGCUGAACAUCAUGCAAACUUACAUUAAUAGACGACACACUCGAUAUGAAUCACACACUCAUGUGAGGAUGAUGAUGAUGAUGAUGAUGAUGCGGUCAUUCAUUCAUUCACUCAGUCGGUUGCUUUCUGAACACAACUUCAUCACGAACGAACGCUCAUUCCUGUCAAAACACAGACUAAACACACUCGGAGCGACCAAACAGAGCGAAACACCGAGCACCGUACCGGAGCGGGAUCACCGGGAGCCAUCCGUUCGCCGCCGCCGGUGUCGUUCGCGUCCAGGCCCGUCAGGGAACGCACGGCUAACCGGCUAACGGCGCAGGAAGCACGAGUUCCGCGCUCCGCUUCCACCACAAACUUUCCUCCGUCAGUCGCACUAAUAGCGGGUUAAAACGCCAGACCUCACCUUCUGGAAGCGCGUCGAGCCUCCGGGAGAGAGAGAGAGAGAGAGAGAGAGAGAGAGGGGCGGUCCGAUCAACACCGGAGCGAAGACGAGAACGGAGGAAAAAGUCGAGCACGGGAGAUGUACGGUAACCGACACAUGAUCCGACACAGCAGCAGCUGGAGUCCUGAGUGUGAAGCAGCCUCUUCUCUCAGUACACGACCCUGCAGCACAAGAGCGGUCAGAAGGGAUUUAUACAUCAUCUGAAGCUGAAUAAAUCAUCUCUCCAUUGAUGUAUGGUUUGUUAGGAGGACAAUAUUUGUCUGAGAUACAACUAUUUGAAAAUCUGGAAUCUAAGGGGUCCAAAAAAAAUCUAAAUAUUGACAGUGGAUUCUGUAUUUCUCUUUUCAUCUCUCCAUAAAUCAGAAAAUACUGUCAAAAGACAGAAAACAAACACAUUUCAAUACAUGUUUCUUGAGCAGCAAAUCAUCAUAUUAGAAUGAUUUCUGAAGAUCAUGUGACACUGAAGACUGGAGUAAUGAUGCUGAAAAUACAGCUGCGCAUCACAGAAAUAAAUUACACUUUAACAGAGAAUUUACAUUCUAAUAAUAUUUCACAGUCUUAUUGUUUUUGCUGUACUUUGGAUCAAAUAAAUGCAGGCUUGGUGAGCAAAAGAGACUUCUUUAAAAAACAUUAAAAAUCUUACUGUUCAAAAAC
ensembl:lncRNA